rnacentral:lncRNA from 1 species
CAUUUAUUAACCCUUUCAACGCUACACAAAAAAAUAGAAAAAUGGCUGCUGCUGCUGCAUUUUUUUGUGUUCAUUCAUUAGAACAGUAUAUUCCUUUUCAGACUGCUGUAUCUUUUUUAUUGUAAGAGAUACAGAAAAAGUUAUUGCAUGAAAAAUGCUCAGGAGAGUAUGAACUGUAAUGUUAGGCAGUUAUUUCAGUAAAAUUUUUAUCAGGUUACCUGCAUUUUCAGGUAAUUAACACGUAAAAGGUGUAAUUUGUUACAUUUGUGUUGAAUUUUGAAUAAAAACUACUUUUCGUCUUCAUCUAUUUUGUUUUUUUAUCUGCCAUAUAAUAAAGAAGACACCAAUUGCUCGAUUCCGUAGCGUAUUGCACCAUACACAACGUAUUAUGUAAUCAUGGCACAAAUCAGUGGCUCCGUCCUCAAAAUUUCAGUCAACCUCCGUUUUCCCCCUUUUUCUACGUCUCGUAAUGAUCGAUCAAAUAAUAUUUCCCACACGAAUUGAAUGUAAUAAACACAUUGAGAUAACAAGAAACCUUUUAACUAAUCCUCGUCAUCAGUUUCGCUAUAGAAAUGCUGAAAUAUUUCCAUAUUUACAGCUUCGUUUCCGAUUUCCGCCAUUUGCAUUUGUCAAAAUAUUUGUUUUUAUUUUCCUUCAAUUUUUCCUUCUACUGCAUGAUUUUACAAAUAAAAUUGCGGGAUUUUCAAGCGCAAAUGAGACCUUGCAUAUCCUCGAUUCAUACAAGGAAAGAUUAGAGAGGACCCAAAUGAAAACCGAAUGGUUUAAGAGUCCUUAUGAAAAAUCCGUUGUCAUCGCGGCAUAUGCCGCGAAUAGCAGUGGCGGACGGCGUAUGUCAUCGCGGCAUAUGCCGUGUAUAGCGUUGAAAGGG